rnacentral:lncRNA from 1 species
GGGAGCCAAGCGUGUCUUGCGUGCUCUAUGGCGCUUUCGGCGUCGCACAGCGCACCCGCCCGGCCUGGAGGUCCGCCGCGGAGAAGUCUCACUCUCUGUCACCCAGGCUGGAGUGCAGUGCCACGAUCUCAGCUCACUGCAACCUCCGCCUCCGGGGUUCAAGCAAUUCGUCUGCCUCAGCCUCCCGAGUAGCUGGGAUUGCAGGCACCUGCCACCAUUCCCAGCUAACACUUUGUAUUUUUAGUAGAGACAGGAUUUCACCAUAUUAGCCAGGCUGGUCUCAAAACCUGACCUCAAGUGAUCCACCGGCCUUGGCCUCCCAAAGUGCUGAGAUGAUAGGUGUGAGCCACCUGCUUUUAACUUGUUCAGCUACAAAGGCAUGUCUGUGAAUGCACAACCAUAAUGGCUCAUCAUGGGCCCAGAGCUAUGACCAUGGUAAGGUACCAAGCAUCCUACACCAUGUGCGUGUUGAUAAGAAUCAACAUCUUUGCCUAUUCUUGUGAUUUUCUGGCUGAGUAUAGCUUCUUGGGGGCAAGUGUGUGUUCUACACCACCAGGAGCAAGCUUCUCUAUUGAUAGACUUCUGGGCUUCUCUGGAGAAACCAAACGCUAAAGGCCUUUCUGAGGAGAGUCAGAAAUGCUGCCUGCAGUAUGAGGCACAUUGCCAAUUCUUGACUGUGUUAACGGAGGUUCCAGCUACCAGGAUGCCUCCGAGUGUGUGUACCUUGUGACAGAGAAAGGUACUUCUCAGCCGUAGUAAAGGAUGCUCUCAAGGGUACUCUGCAAAGCUUCUGACUGCCAGGCACUUCUCAGGGAAAAGCUUUGUUUUUCAAAUCUCUUUGUUUUGUGGACUUGGUAUUUUCUGUUUUACCUUCUUGUUGCUGUAAUUCUGAUGAAUGAAAGGUACAUUUUGCAGAAUUGAACUUCCUGCCUGAAAGGAGCCUUUGCAUGGGGAUUAGCCAUCAGUAGCCAUCCGGUCUUAGAGGGUCCUAAGAGUGCUCCAUCGGGCCCGUCAGCCACUUCCCUGGAUCCCCACAGGAACUCAUUCAGAACGAGUCACAUGCUGCUUUGUACCUGGAUGCUUCCUCGUGUACAUCAUGUUUGCAAAGGAAGUAGCCAGCUCUUCGUGGACAGGAACUGUGUCUUACUCUUCUGCCAUCCCUCCCCUCAGGCAGCACUGCCGAGAGCAUUCGCAGUGGCCAUGGAACUCUGUUGAUUGAAUGUUGGCUUGAGGAAGUUCCUGAUGUAGUUGGGCCUGUAGCAGUUGGGAUCUGGCUUCUGCGAUACUCAAGUAGUCCUACUGAAUUACAGUACCGUCAGAACCCUGUGCACAACCCUGAAAUGGGUCAGAACUCCACACUGUGCCAUAAAGAGGAAAAUUGUCAACAGGGAAGUCUAAGGAAACACCCUCUUUUGUGGAAGGCAGCAGUGGCAUGAGAGCCACCCUCUGGGCCAAAGGUGCAGCCUGACAUUCUCUGCAGAAUUACACCAUGAGUUAAGAGUGUGAGCUUCGUUUCUGAGAUACAGCUCCACCCCCUCUGAUCCUGGGAAAACUUAUCAGCUUCACCAAGCCUCUGUUUCUUCACUCUUUGCUCAGUUACUAUCUACCAGGCAUGUUAAAAAUACUUUAUGUGAAUUAUUUUUGCUUUUCACUAACCCUAUUCUACAGGCAUUAAUAAGUGAGCAAAGAGAUUCUCUAUUAUUUGUUACGCAUUAUUAUGUAUUAUCUAUGUUCUUAUUAACUACUUGGUUACAAUAACGUUUGCUAAACUUUUGUUCUGUUCAUUAAAUUCUCGUUGAACCUUAACAACUGCAAAGCAGGGAGCCUCCAC